rnacentral:rRNA from 1 species
GAUGAACGCUGGCGGCGUGCCCAAUACAUGCAAGUCGAGCGAACAGAUGAGGAGCUUGCUCCUCUGACGUUAGCGGCGGACGGGUGAGUAACACGUGGAUAACCUACCUAUAAGACUGGGAUAACUUCGGGAAACCGGAGCUAAUACCGGAUAAUAUAUUGAACCGCAUGGUUCAAUAGUGAAAGACGGUUUUGCUGUCACUUAUAGAUGGAUCCGCGCCGCAUUAGCUAGUUGGUAAGGUAACGGCUUACCAAGGCAACGAUGCGUAGCCGACCUGAGAGGGUGAUCGGCCACACUGGAACUGAGACACGGUCCAGACUCCUACGGGAGGCAGCAGUAGGGAAUCUUCCGCAAAGGGCGAAAGCCUGACGGAGCAACGCCGCGUGAGUGAUGAAGGUCUUCGGAUCGUAAAACUCUGUUAUUAGGGAAGAACAAAUGUGUAAGUAACUAUGCACGUCUUGACGGUACCUAAUCAGAAAGCCACGGCUAACUACGUG